GAUGAAGAACGCAGCGAAAUGCGAUAAGUAAUGUGAAUUGCAGAAUUCAGUGAAUCAUCGAAUCUUUGAACGCACAUUGCGCCCGCCAGUAUUCUGGCGGGCAUGCCUGUUCGAGCGUCAUUUCAACCAUCAAGCCCCCGGCUUGUGUUGGGGACCUGCGGCUGCCGCAGGCCCUGAAAACCAGUGGCGGGCUCGCUAGUCACUCCGAGCGUAGUAAUACAUCUCGCUCAGGGCGUGCUGUGGGUUCCGGCCGUUAAAAGCCUUAUUUUACCCAAGGUUGACCUCGGAUCAGGUAGGAAGACCCGCUGAACUUAAGCAUAUCAAUAAGCGGAGGA
rnacentral:misc_RNA from 1 species